GGGCCCGCACAAGCGGUGGAGCAUGUGGUUUAAUUCGAUGCAACGCGAAGAACCUUACCAUCCCUUGACAUCCUUGAAAGAAAGUGGAGACAUUUUUGUGCCUUCGGGAAUCAAGUGACAGGUGCUGCAUGGCUGUCGUCAGCUCGUGUCGUGAGAUGUUGGGUUAAGUCCCGCAACGAGCGCAACCCUUGUCCUUAGUUGCCAGCAUUAGGUUGGGCACUCUAAGGAGACUGCCGGUGACAAACCGGAGGAAGUGGGGGACGACGUCAAGUCAUCAUGGCCCUUACGGGAUGGGCUACACACGUGCUACAAUGGUGGAUACAGAGGGAAGCAAGACGGCGACGUG
rnacentral:rRNA from 1 species